GAUGAAGAACGCAGCGAAAUGCGAUAAGUAAUGUGAAUUGCAGAAUUCAGUGAAUCAUCGAAUCUUUGAACGCACAUUGCGCCCGCCAGUAUUCUGGCGGGCAUGCCUGUUCGAGCGUCAUUUCAACCAUCAAGCCCCAGGCUUGUGUUGGGGACCUGCGGCUGCCGCAGGCCCUGAAAACCAGUGGCGGGCUCGCUGUCACACCGGGCGUAGUAGAUUUUAUCUCGCUCAGGGCGUGCUGCGGGUUCCGGCCGUUAAAAAGCCUUUUUUACCCAAGGUUGACCUCGGAUCAGGUAGGAAGACCCGCUGAACUUAAGCAUAUCGAUAAGCGGAGGA
rnacentral:misc_RNA from 1 species